UACGAAGGGGGCUAGCGUUGCUCGGAAUCACUGGGCGUAAAGGGUGCGUAGGCGGGUCUUUAAGUCAGGGGUGAAAUCCUGGAGCUCAACUCCAGAACUGCCUUUGAUACUGAGGAUCUUGAGUUCGGGAGAGGUGAGUGGAACUGCGAGUGUAGAGGUGAAAUUCGUAGAUAUUCGCAAGAACACCAGUGGCGAAGGCGGCUCACUGGCCCGAUACUGACGCUGAGGAGCGAAAGCGUGGGUAGCGAACAGG
rnacentral:rRNA from 1 species